GACGAACGCUGGCGGCGUGCUUAACACAUGCAAGUCGAACGGAGAGGCCCUGCUUUUGUGGGGUGCUCGAGUGGCGAACGGGGGAGUAACACGUGAGUAACCUGCCCUUGACUUUGGGAUAACUUCAGGAAACUGGGGCUAAUACCGGAUAGGAGCUCCUGCUGCAUGGUGGGGGUUGGAAAGUUUCGGCGGUUGGGGAUGGACUCGCGGCUUAUCAGCUUGUUGGUGGGGUAGUGGCUUACCAAGGCUUUGACGGGUAGCCGGCCUGAGAGGGUGACCGGCCACAUUGGGCCUGGGAUACGGCCCAGACUCCUACGGGAGGCAGCAGUGGGGAAUAUUGCACAAUGGGCGGAAGCCUGAUGCAGCACCGCCGCGUGCGGGAUGACGGCCUUCGGGUUGUAAACCGCUUUCGCCUGUGCCGAAGCGUGAGUGACGGUAAUGGGUAAAGAAGCACCGGCUAACUACGUG
rnacentral:rRNA from 1 species